UACGGGGGGGGGCAAGCGUUGUUCGGAAUUACUGGGCGUAAAGGGUUCGUAGGUGGCCAAUUAAGUCAGACGUGAAAUCCCUCAGCUUAACUGGGGAACUGCGUCUGAGACUGGAUCGGAGCUUGAGGUGCAGGAGGAGGAACGCGGAAUUCCAGGUGUAGCGGUGAAAUGCGUAGAUAUCUGGAGGAACACCGGUGGCGAAGGCGGCGUUCUGGACUGCAACUGACACUGAGGAACGAAAGCCAGGGGAGCAAACGGG
rnacentral:rRNA from 1 species